rnacentral:misc_RNA from 1 species
GAUGAAGAACGUAGCGAAAUGCGAUAAGUAAUGUGAAUUGCAGAAUUCAGUGAAUCAUCGAAUCUUUGAACGCACAUUGCGCCCGCCAGCAUUCUGGCGGGCAUGCCUGUUCGAGCGUCAUUUCAACCCUCGAGCCCCCCCGGGGGCCUCGGUGUUGGGGGACGGCACACCAGCCACCCCCGAAAUGCAGUGGCGACCCCGCCGCAGCCUCCCCUGCGUAGUAGCACACACCUCGCACCGGAGCGCGGAGGCGGUCACGCCGUAAAACGCCCAACUUUCUUAGAGUUGACCUCGGAUCAGGUAGGAAUACCCGCUGAACUUAAGCAUAUCAAUAAGCGGAGGA